rfam:Flavobacteriaceae bacterium TMED204 78144, whole genome shotgun sequence.
AUUAAUAACCAGGCGGUCGAGAACCUCCAUAAAUUAAU